AUUGAACGCUGGCGGCAGGCUUAACACAUGCAAGUCGAGCGGAGAUGAGGUGCUUGCACCUUAUCUUAGCGGCGGACGGGUGAGUAAUGCUUAGGAAUCUGCCUAUUAGUGGGGGACAACAUUCCGAAAGGAAUGCUAAUACCGCAUACGUCCUACGGGAGAAAGCAGGGGAUCUUCGGACCUUGCGCUAAUAGAUGAGCCUAAGUCGGAUUAGCUAGUUGGUGGGGUAAAGGCCUACCAAGGCGACGAUCUGUAGCGGGUCUGAGAGGAUGAUCCGCCACACUGGGACUGAGACACGGCCCAGACUCCUACGGGAGGCCGCAGUGGGGAAUAUUGGACAAUGGGGGGAACCCUGAUCCAGCCAUGCCGCGUGUGUGAAGAAGGCCUUAUGGUUGUAAAGCACUUUAAGCGAGGAGGAGGCUACUGAGACUAAUACUCUGGGAUAGUGGACGUUACUCGCAGAAUAAGCACCGGCUAACUCUGUGCCAGCAGCCGCCGUAACAC
rnacentral:rRNA from 1 species